UAGAAAAUUUUAAAACAAAGGAAAAAGUGAAGAAAAAUAAAUGAAAGCACAUAGAAAAAAGAAGAAAAAUUUGAAAGGAGAAAAAGUUAAUGAAAAAUUAUAAAAAUGCAAUAGAAAAUAACCAAGAAUGAUAAAAGAAAAAAAGUUAGAAAAAUAAAAAAUUCCAAAACUUUAUAAAAAUUUAUGAAACUAUAAACAAAGAAAGAAAAUAAAAAACAAAAAGAUAAAAGAUAAAUAAAGCACAAAAAAACAAAAAUACAACAAAAAAUAUAAAAAGUAAGAAAAUAAAAAAGGGCAAAAAUUGAAUAAAAAUUUCAAAAUUGAAAUGGAAUGACAAAAUGAAAAAAAAUAGUUUAAAAAAUACAAAAAAUUGAAAAACAUAUAAGACCUAACAAUAUAAAAAGUCAGACAAAAAAUUAAAAAAGAGAAAAGUUAAUGCAAAAUAAAAAAGUAUGAGAAUUUAAAAGCGCAAAUAAGAAAUGAAAGGAAAUUUGUGGGAAAAAAAUAGAAUAGCAAGAAAAGAAUAAAAAUAAAAAGACAAAAGAUUUGGAAUAAAAAAACAAAACAACAAAAAAAUUAAAACAAGUAAAAAUGAAAGCAUAUGAAAAAAAAAAGCAAGAAGAAGGAAAUUUGUGAAGGGAAAAAGUUAUUAAAAAAUUACAAAGUAGAAAAAAAUAAGAAAAUAAAAAAGAUUCAAAAAAUAAAAAAAUUGAACUUUAUAAAAAAUUUUUAAAAUAUAAAUAAAAAAUAAAUGAAAAAAUAAAUUAAGAGAAAAAAUUAAAUAAAAUACCAAAAAAGGAAAAAAUAAAAAUAAACAAAAAUAAAAAGUAACAAAGUAAGAAAAUAAAAAAUUAGCGAAUCAAAAAAAUAUAAUGAAACAAAAUGAAUAAAAAUUUCAAAAUAUAAAAUGGAAAAAACUUUUAGUUUAGAAUGUACAAAGAAAAACAAAAGAAAAAAGAUAUAAAAUAUGAAAGAUGAAAAACAAAAUAAAAGUUAAUAAAAAAUAUAAAUAAAAAUAAAAGAAAGUGACAAAAAAAGAAGUUUGAGGUUUUAAAAUUAUAAAGAAGAAAUAAAAAAAAAGCAAGAAAAAAAUAAAAAAGGAAAAUACAAAAUACAUAAUAGAUAAUACAUAAAAUAAAUUUUGACAAAAAAAUGAGAAAAAGAAGAAAAAAAUAAAAAAUGAAGAGGCAAAAAUAUGAAAGAAAAGAAAAAGAAAAAAAUUUAUGGAAACUUUUAAAACAAAGGAAAAAGUGAACAAAAAAAAAUGAAAGCACAUAAAAAAAAGAAUAAAAAUUUGAAAGGGGAAAAAGUUAAUGAAAAAUUAUAAAAAUGCAAUAGAAAAUAACCAAGAAUGAUAAAAGAAAAAAAGAUAGAAAAAUAAAAAAUUCCAAAACUUUAUAAAAAUUUAUGAAACUAUAAACAAAGAAAGAAAAUAAAAAAUAAAAAUAGAAAAAGAUAAAUAAAGCACAAAAAAACAAAAAUACAACAAAAAAUAUAAAAAGGACAAAAAUUGAAUAAAAAUUUCAAAAAUGAAAUGGAAUGACAAAAUGAAAAAAAAAUAGUUUAAAAAAUACAAAAAAUUGAAAAACAUAUAAGACCUAACAAUAUAAAAAGUCGGACAAAAAAUUAAAAAAGAGAAAAGUUAAUGCAAAAUAAAAAAAGUAUGAGAAUUUAAAAACGCAAAUAAGAAACGAAAGGAAAUUUAUAGGAAAAAAAAGAAAAGCAAGAAAAGAAUAAAAAUGAAAAGACAAAAGAUUUGCAAUAAAAAAUAGAAAAAUAAAAUAUUUAAAAUAACGAAGAAAUUAAAACAAGUAAAAAUGAAAGCAUACGAAAAAAAAGAAAGAAGAAAGAAAAUUGUGAAGGGAAAAAGUUAUUAAAAAAUUACAAAGUAGAAAAAAAUAAGAAAAUAAAAAAAUAAAAACAAAAAAUUUUGAACUUUAUAAAAAUGUUUUAAAAUAUAAAU
rnacentral:lncRNA from 1 species